rnacentral:rRNA from 1 species
GGGCCGUGGUAUACUGACCAUGCGAAGGUAGCAUAAUCAUUAGCCUUUUGAUUUGAGGCUGGAAUGAAUGGUUUGACGAGAGAUGGUCUGUCUCUUCGAUUAAAUUGAAGUUAAUCUUUAAGUGAAAAAGCUUAAAUGUACUUGGAGGGCGAUAAGACCCUAUAGAUCUUUACAUUUAAUUCUUUUGUCUUGCGGUAGGUAAUUAGACAGAGUAAAACAAUGUUCGGUUGGGGCGACGGUAAGAACAGAAUAAACACUUACAACAUAAACACAUCAAUAAAUGACCAUUGAUCCUUAGAUGAAUAAAGACCAAGUUACCUUAGGGAUAACAGCGUAAUUCUUUUUGAGAGUUCAAAUCGACAAAAGAGUUUGCGACCUCGAUGUUGGUUCAGGGACCCUACUCGGUGUAGCAGCCUAGAGAGGCAGUCUGUUCGACUGUUAAACCCCUACGUGAUCU